GGGAUCAGGACACAGACACACACAGGGAGUCCAUGUGGAGGCACAGGGAGAAGGCAGCAUCUACGAGCCAACGAGGGAGAAACCACCCCAGCUAACCCCGUGAUCUUGGCCUUUUGGGCUCCAGAGCUGUGGGAAGCUCAAGGUGGGCUCAGGAGAUGACCUUGACAGAGAACCCUCUCCUCUGCAAAGCAGAUGAACAUUGGGUGUUUUAGAAGAAAGAUUCUCUGAAGCCGAGCACACCAACAGCAGCACAGGAAAGUCUCCCAGGCUCCCGAGGAAUGUUUCACAGCCUCCAACUGUGCCUUGGUACAUAUGGGAGGGAGGGAGCGUUGGCUGGUUUCAGCACGGGGCCAGGGGCCAGGUUUGCUCUCUGCAUGUUUGAGGGGGUCUAGGCGGGGCAGCCAGGUCAUUGUCCUCAUUCCCUUCUCUGGGCUCAGUCCCCAGCUCUGCGAUGGGUGGGGAUGAGUCAGAAGGGAGCUGAGUAGGCCUGAUUUUCCCCAGUGGGAGGAGGCUGGAGCUUUUUCUGACUUUCUCCCUACCCAACUCCAAUCGCACAAAGGUGCUUGGCAAUGGAACUCAAUAUCCAUAUGUUCUCCCAGGCCCCAGUACAAGCGCCUUGUUCAGACCCACAGAAAUGGAAGGGCUGGGAGCUCACCUGGCUCCAAUCCCCACCGGCUUUGCCUGGCCCCAGGGAGGCAGCUGUCCUUCAACAGUCACUGGGGAGGCCUGCCAUUACGGUCACAUGGUCUGACCCCUCUCAUCUCCAUGUGAAAGCUGAGGGGCUGAGGCUCAGAGAGGGCUAGUGACUUGCACCAGGUCACACAGCUGGGAGGAGGCAGAGCAGAACUCCAAUGCCAAGCCUCGCUCUACCGCCCUUGGCCACCGUGGAGAAUUGCCGGGACCGUCUCGCUCCCAUUCAGCCGGAACGGCCCCGCGUUUGGUCUCCACAAGCCUGUUUCCUCGUUCCUCAAUGGCCCCAACAGUCUCCAGCUUCCUCCUGGACUCCCACCCACAGUAGCCACCACUGAGGCCUCAGUCUUAACUUUUCCAAAGGAGACCCACCUUGGAAACCCACAACCUACAGGACCAGCCCGGCCAGUCCAGGCUCCCUCCACUGAAGUCACCCAGCCCCUGGCCAGAGCAGGGACCCCUCUGAGCUGAGCUGUCCCUGUGGCCACCUUCACCGUUCUCGGGGCUUACCUUGGGCUACCCACAGGCACAGGGCCACCCCCUUCUCACCCCAAGGUCCUGAAACCCACAUUCAGUCCCCUGAAGAUCACUGGUUCCUCAGACACACCACCCAGAGCCAGAACCAGACUGGACCAUCAGCCGCAGCUCCAGGAAGCCGCCUGUGACCACUGCCAGCUGGGCCCGGGCCCCUCUCGGUCACGGCGCCUCUGAGCAUCCUGCACAUCGGAGGCUGCCCAUCCACGUUUGUCUCCCCCACCAGACAGGGGGCUCCUUGUGGGCAGGGACCCCUCAGGUCUUAUUCACCUCUAUGUUCACAGUGCUCAAUCCCAGAGCACACACAGUAGGUGCUUCGUGGCUUGUGUGUUGAGUGACCAUAUGAUCAAACGCCUGAGGCGGGGGCAUUUGCACUGGGGACAGGGCAGCUAGGACCACAUCCUUCUCACCUCCGCUGAGCACCCUGGCCAGAUGCCAGGGACGUCUGACAUGCUGUCUGUAAACCAAAAAUUAAAUGCUGGGGCUCCCCAGCCAUCUCAAUGGACUCUAUCCACUUGGCCAGGGCAUGCCAAAGUUAACCUGAAAGACUGGUUCAGGCCAUGAUGGGAAGCGGGGGUCAGACAUGCCUCACUAUGCCCGCCUCCCUUUGGAAUUCAGGAAAAGCUCACCAGCAUUUAACAUCAACGCAGACCUUAAGUCUGAUGAGAAACAUUUACAGUCUAUUCUCUCUGAAGCCUGCUACCUGGCAGCUUCAUUUGCAUGACAAAACCUUACACUCCACAGAGACAUUCCUUUCUACAGAUAUUAACUCUUUCAACCAACUGCCAAUCAGAACAUUUUAUUUUAUUUUUUUUGAGACAGGGUCUCACUCUGUUGCCCAGGCUGGAGUGCAGUGCCAUGAUCUUGACUCACUGCAACCUCUGCCUCCCGUCUCAAGCGAUUCUCGUGCCUCAGCCACCUGAAUAGAUGAGAUUACAGGCAAGUGCCACCAUGCCUGGCUAAGUUUUGUAUUUUUGGUAGAGAGCGGGUUUCACCAUGUUGGCCAGGCUGGUCUCGAACUCCUGACCUCAAAUGAUCCACCAACCUCAGCCUCCCAAGGUGCUAGGAUUACAGGUGUGAGCCACUGCGCACGGCCAGUCAGAAUGUUUUAAAAUCUACCUAUAACUUGGAAGCUCCUGCUUUGAGUUGUCCCACUUUCUCGACCAAACCAAUGUCAAUCUUACAUGUAUUCUGAUUGAUGUCUCGUGUCUUCCUGACAUGUAUAAAAUCAAGCUGCACCCCAACACCUUGGGCGCCUGUUCUCAGGGUCACAUGAGGGCUGUGUCAUGGUCACUCAUAUUUGACUCAGAAUGAAUCUCUUCCAGUAUUUUACAGUUUCACUCUUUCCGUGGACAGGUCCUUGUCCUGGGAGAGCUCCCAUCCCCAUGGUGCAGAAGGGGCAGCCAUGCGAUCAGGGCCACCUUCCAGGCUGCAGAGAAUAGCACAGCUGCUCAAACAAGAGCCCAGACUUGCCGCUACAGGACAUCAGAGUCACUCAGGACCCCCAAGGUAGCCUGCUUGGUGGAAUGGAUGAGGUCUACGGGAUACCCCACAUUCGAGAGUAAGUGGGAGGCCAGGGGUUGCUGAGAUCCGCAGCAGGAUGAGGACAUGGCCUGGCCUGUGGGCCUUAGGGGUGUCCUCAGGUCCUGGACCACCAGCCAGAUGGGGCCAUAGACCACCCUUGGGUCACAGACCACCAGCCAGAUGGGGACUGCCCCAAAUCACUAAGCUAAAGGGAAAAGUCCAGCUGGAAACUGCUUGGGGCCAACCUGCCUCCCAUUCUAUUCAAAGUCACCCCUCUGCUCACUGAGAUAAGUGCAGAUCUGAUUGCCUCCUUUCAGAACUCAAAAGAAUGCAAUCACUUGUCUCCUAUCUACCCAUGACCUGGAAGCCCCCUCCACGCUUUGAGUCAUCCUGCCUUUGCUUCAAGUUUUCCCGCCUUUCCAGACUGAACCAAUGUUCAUCUUGCAUAUGUUGAUUGAUGUCUCAUGUCUGCCUAAAAUGUAUAAAACCAAACUGUGCUCUGACCACCUUGCACACAUAUCACCAGGACCUCCUGAGGCUGUGUCACGGGUGCACAUCCUUAAUCUUGGCAAAAUAAACUUUCUAAAUUAACUGAGAC
rnacentral:lncRNA from 10 species